UAACAUGUCUGGAUUUACCCUGCAGAGAUUUGAGAAGCGGUCAACAGUAGUCCUUAUAAAUCCACUGGAUUUAAAUUUCUAACACAAAGAAAGUAGAAGGUAACGGAAAAUACAUGCGUCUGGCGGAAUUUCCUGCGGCAACAGAGCUACCCC